UCCUGGUCGUUGAAGCUUCUCUCCUCC
rnacentral:piRNA from 1 species